GAUGAACGCUGGCGGCGUGCCUAAUACAUGCAAGUCGAGCGAAGCUGGGACGGGUGAGUAACACGUAGAUAACCUCUUAUAAGACUGGGCUAACUUCUGGAAACCGUAGCUAAACCGGAUCCUUAUAGAUGACUCUGCGCUGAAUUAGCUAGUUGGUAAGGUAACGCCUUACAAAGGCAACGAUGAAUAGCCGACCUGAGAGGGUGAUCGGCAACACUGGAACUGAGAACCGGUCCAGCCUCCUACGUGGGGCAGCAGUAGGGAAUCUUCCGCAAGGGGCGAAAGCCUGACGUAGCAACACCGGGGGAGGAAGGAAGGUUUUCGGAUCGAAAAACUCGGUUAUUAGGGAAGCGGUACCUAAUCAGAAAGCCACGGCUAACUACGUGCCAGCAGCCGCGGUAAUAC
rnacentral:rRNA from 1 species